UACGUAGGGUGCGAGCGUUGUCCGGAAUUAUUGGGCGUAAAGAGCUCGUAGGCGGUGUGUCACGUCGGCCGUGAAAACCUGCAGCUUAACUGUGGGCGUGCGGUCGAUACGGGCAUCACUGGAGUUCGGCAGGGGAGACUGGAAUUCCUGGUGUAGCGGUGAAAUGCGCAGAUAUCAGGAGGAACACCGGUGGCGAAGUCGGGUCUCUGGGCCGAUACUGACGCUGAGGUGCGAAAGCUAGGGGAGCAAACGGG
rnacentral:rRNA from 1 species